CGUCCUUCCUGUCCGCGGCGACCACUGCACACGCGCCUCCUUGUGGGAGUCUCGUUUAGGCUGUGAUUCUAGGAAACUGAGUUUCCUAAAGGUGCUCAUGCAGAUCCCUGCAUCCUAUGUCUGCUGUGAAAAUCACUCCGCAAGCUCAGAAGCAACUCAACGUUUAUGAAGAUGGGAAGCAGAACUUGGCAUCCAAGAAGACAGCCGUUGGCUGUUAGCUAACAACUAGUGUCUAGUCUGUUCCUUUCGGUUGACACACUGUUUAAUUUUAUAUAUAUAUUUGAAAUUAAAUAGUACAAUUGUCUCUUUUUAAUGAGCACUCAAAGAAACUGCGUUUCACAGGCCUUUGGAAGAGAUGUUCCCGGUAGGCUGUAAGAGCACUGUGCAAAGCGAGUUGUUUCUUAGCUUCCCAAAGAGCUGGAAGCAAGAUGCUGUGGGGCCCAACUCGCCCUUUGGAAAGAAGCCUGCACGUUGUGCCUUUCAGCUCUAGGGCAAUGUAGCACACCCAGAGCAGAAGUCCUACUUCAGCCAGAUCAGGCCUGCAAAGAAACUGCGUUUCACAGGCCUUUGGAAGAGAUGUUCCCGGUAGGCUGUAAGAGCACUGUGCAGAGCGAGUGGUUUCUUAGCUUCCCAAAGAGCUGGAAGCAAGAUGCUGUGGGGCCCAACUCGCCCUUUGGAAAGAAGCCUGCACGUUGUGCCUUUCAGCUCUAGGGCAAAGUAGCACACCCAGAGCAGAAGUCCUACUUCAGCCAGAUCAGGCCUGCAAAGAAACUGCGUUUCACAGGCCUUUGGAAGAGAUGUUCCCACUAGGCUGUAAGAGCACUGUGCAGAGCGAGUUGUUUCUUAGCUUCCCAAAGAGCUGGAAGCAAGAUGCUGUGGGGCCCAACUCGCCCUUUGGAAAGAAGCCUGCACGUUGUGCCUUUCAGCUCUAGGGCAAAGUAGCACACCCAGAGCAGAAGUCCUACUUCAGCCAGAUCAGGCCUGCAAAGAAACUGCGUUUCACAGGCCUUUGGAAGAGAUGUUCCCGGUAGGCUGUAAGAGCACUGUACAGAGCGAGUUGUUUCUUAGGUUCCCAAAGAGCUGAAAGCAAGAUGCUGUGGGGCCCAACUCGCCCUUUGGAAAGAAGCCUGCACGUUGUGCCUUUCAGCUCUAGGGCAAUGUAGCACACCCAGAGCAGAAGUCCUACUUCAGCCAGAUCAGGCCUGCAAAGAAUCUGCGUUUCACAGGCCUUUGGAAGAGAUGUUCCCGGUAGGCUGUAAGAGCACUGUGCAGAGCGAGACCGGAAGAGCAUUUGGGGAAGAAGGAUCAGUUCCGGCAAAGGUCCUGGGUCAGGAUGGAACGAGUAUAACAGAGGUCAAAGAAAUGGCAGAAGGUCAGUGUGACUGGAAGCUCAAGGCAGGGGAGGACCAGGAGAAGCAGGACCAGGCAGGCGGGCAAGGCCCGGGCCUAGGAGCGCUUGCUUAAGAACUCACAGGGCGGACACCACCAAAAAGAGGGGUACAUUCCGCCACGUUGAAACUACAGGCACCUUUAAAAGAGUGAAAAAGCAAGCUGCAAACUGGGAGACAACAUAGCAAAGGAGGAAAAUUAUAUAUUUAUAUAUAUGCAAAUAUAUGUAUACACACUCAUACAUAUAUUAUAUCGCAUAUUAAUUGUAUGUCAUUUGUGUUAUUAUAUAGUAUAACUAUGUAUGUUAUAUAUGUUUUAACUACAUAUCAAUAAGAAAAAGAGAAACAACACAAUAGAAAAAAAUCUUUGAAAAAUAAGGACAGAAAUUUCACAAAAGAUACAACACAAAAGUCUAACACAUUUAGAAAAAGAUCUCGCCCUGACUAGUGCUGACGAACUGGAAAUCAAAACCACAAUAUCAUUUUACUCCCCUUUGAUUGGCAAACGUCAAGAAAUCCGACAACUCGAAGUGUCCGAGUGGAUCUGGGUCAAUGGGACAUCAUCUACGUUGCUGGCAGGAGUGCAAGUUGACACAACCACUUUUGAAUGUUUGGUGUUACCUUGUCAAGUAGAAAACGUGUGCUUCAUCACCCAGCAAUCCCAUCCCUAUGUACGCACUGAUACAGUCAUACCGGUUGUUAAAAUGUCG
ensembl:lncRNA